AGAGUUUGAUCAUGGCUCAGAUUGAACGCUGGCGGCAGGCCUAACACAUGCAAGUCGAGCGGUAGCACAGAGAGCUUGCUCUCGGGUGACGAGCGGCGGACGGGUGAGUAAUGUCUGGGAAACUGCCUGAUGGAGGGGGAUAACUACUGGAAACGGUAGCUAAUACCGCAUAACGUCGCAAGACCAAAGUGGGGGACCUUCGGGCCUCAUGCCAUCAGAUGUGCCCAGAUGGGAUUAGCUAGUAGGUGGGGUAAUGGCUCACCUAGGCGACGAUCCCUAGCUGGUCUGAGAGGAUGACCAGCCACACUGGAACUGAGACACGGUCCAGACUCCUACGGGAGGCAGCAGUGGGGAAUAUUGCACAAUGGGCGCAAGCCUGAUGCAGCCAUGCCGCGUGUAUGAAGAAGGCCUUCGGGUUGUAAAGUACUUUCAGCGAGGAGGAAGGCAUUAAGGUUAAUAACCUUGGUGAUUGACGUUACUCGCAGAAGAAGCACCGGCUAACUCCGUGCCAGCAGCCGCGGUAAUACGGAGGGUGCAAGCGUUAAUCGGAAUUACUGGGCGUAAAGCGCACGCAGGCGGUCUGUCAAGUCGGAUGUGAAAUCCCCGGGCUCAACCUGGGAACUGCAUUCGAAACUGGCAGGCUAGAGUCUUGUAGAGGGGGGUAGAAUUCCAGGUGUAGCGGUGAAAUGCGUAGAGAUCUGGAGGAAUACCGGUGGCGAAGGCGGCCCCCUGGACAAAGACUGACGCUCAGGUGCGAAAGCGUGGGGAGCAAACAGGAUUAGAUACCCUGGUAGUCCACGCCGUAAACGAUGUCGACUUGGAGGUUGUGCCCUUGAGGCGUGGCUUCCGGAGCUAACGCGUUAAGUCGACCGCCUGGGGAGUACGGCCGCAAGGUUAAAACUCAAAUGAAUUGACGGGGGCCCGCACAAGCGGUGGAGCAUGUGGUUUAAUUCGAUGCAACGCGAAGAACCUUACCUACUCUUGACAUCCAGAGAACUUAGCAGAGAUGCUUUGGUGCCUUCGGGAACUCUGAGACAGGUGCUGCAUGGCUGUCGUCAGCUCGUGUUGUGAAAUGUUGGGUUAAGUCCCGCAACGAGCGCAACCCUUAUCCUUUGUUGCCAGCGAUUCGGUCGGGAACUCAAAGGAGACUGCCAGUGAUAAACUGGAGGAAGGUGGGGAUGACGUCAAGUCAUCAUGGCCCUUACGAGUAGGGCUACACACGUGCUACAAUGGCAUAUACAAAGAGAAGCGACCUCGCGAGAGCAAGCGGACCUCAUAAAGUAUGUCGUAGUCCGGAUUGGAGUCUGCAACUCGACUCCAUGAAGUCGGAAUCGCUGGUAAUCGUAGAUCAGAAUGCUACGGUGAAUACGUUCCCGGGCCUUGUACACACCGCCCGUCACACCAUGGGAGUGGGUUGCAAAAGAAGUAGGUAGCUUAACCUUCGGGAGGGCGCUUACCACUUUGUGAUUCAUGACUGGGUGAAGUCGUAACAAGGUAACCGUAGGGGAACCUGCGGUUGGAUCACCU
rnacentral:rRNA from 1 species